UGGUUUACUUCACUGAGCAUAAUACUCACCAGCUCCAUCCAUGCUGUUCCAAAAGAUAAGAUUUCCUUUUUGGGUGUGCGGUGCCUAGGACUUCCUGCACUAUAUGGAGUACAUAUCAUGACCACAGACAUCGCUGACUUGCUCCUGAUCUGAAGAAAAAUGCUUUUGCCUUUUGUCCAUGGAGUAUGAUGUUGUCGAAAUAAAGAAACACUUGAGCUGAAUAGAUCAGUUGAUU